AAUGGGAAGGCGUCGCCGACUACGAGCAGGGUCACAUAUAUAAGUCCGCGUCGACUUGUGAUUUGAACAGUCGCUUGUCUGUUUUCCUCAUGGCUAAGUUCAUCUUUUUGUUUGUCUGCGUUGUGGCCAUUCUGGCUAUGGUUGCUGCUGAACCGGAGCCCAAAGCCGACCCGGGUAGCGACCAUGGCAGCCACCCAGGUAGCCAUCCAAGUAGCCACUCAGGUGGAAGUCAGAGCCGUCCCUUUGGAGGGAGUCACCACAGUCCGUAUGGUCACGUGGCACAUGGACACAAUAAGGGACAUGAAGAGAAACACCACCACUAAAACUUAAAAAUUGCUAGAAACAAUAAACGGACACCUGUACCUUUCAGUCCAAUGUUGAUCGUUCAAAGUUUUAAAUAAAACUAUUCAAUAUUUUUAUAUCACGUUUAUUACAAUAUAAUAAAAGAAUAUUACUUAAAGCUGUAUCAUUUUUAAAUUCAGGCUAACAACCUCAAAAUUUCUUUGUCACAUGUAAAUUGUGUACGUUUCAUCCUUUUUCAUAUGUAUUAUAUAACAACUUCAAGUUGGA